rnacentral:rRNA from 1 species
AUUGAACGCUGGCGGCAUGCCUUACACAUGCAAGUCGAACGGCAGCGGGGGCUUCGGCCUGCCGGCGAGUGGCGAACGGGUGAGUAAUGCAUCGGAACGUGCCCAUGUCGUGGGGGAUAACGUAGCGAAAGCUACGCUAAUACCGCAUACGCCCUGAGGGGGAAAGCGGGGGAUUCUUCGGAACCUCGCGCGAUUGGAGCGGCCAAUGUCGGAUUAGCUAGUAGGUGAGGUAAAGGCUCACCUAGGCGACGAUCCGUAGCGGGUCUGAGAGGAUGAUCCGCCACACUGGGACUGAGACACGGCCCAGACUCCUACGGGAGGCAGCAGUGGGGAAUUUUGGACAAUGGGGGCAACCCUGAUCCAGCCAUUCCGCGUGAGUG